AUCUAUGGCCAUGCCACCCUGAACAAGCUCGAUCCCAUCUGAUCUCGGAAGCUAAGCAGGGUUGGACCUGGUUAGUAGUUGGAUGGGAGACCACCUAGGAAGACCAGGCGCUGUAGGUG
rnacentral:rRNA from 1 species